rnacentral:rRNA from 1 species
AAUCAACGCUGGCGGCGUGCCUCAGACAUGCAAGUCGAACGCGAAAGGUUCCUUCGGGAACCGAGUAGAGUGGCGCACGGGUGAGUAACACGUAGGUAAUUUGCCUUUGGGUGGGGAAUAACAGCCGGAAACGGCUGCUAAUACCGCAUAAUGCAGCGGCUCGACAUCGAGACAGUUGUUAAAGCGGGGGAUCGCAAGACCUCGCGCCUAAAGAGAAGCCUGCGGCAGAUUAGCUAGUUGGUAGGGUAAUGGCCUACCAAGGCGACGAUCUGUAACCGGCCUGAGAGGGCGGUCGGUCACACUGACACUGACAUACGGGUCAGACUCCUACGGGAGGCAGCAGUCGGGAAUUUUGGGCAAUGGGCGAAAGCCUGACCCAGCAACGCCGCGUGAAGGAUGAAAUCCCUCGGGAUGUAAAGCACUGUUGUGGGGACGAAGGGCGAAGGGUUAAUAGCCCUAGCUUGACGGUACCCUUCGAGGAAGCCCCGGCUAACUACGUGCCAGCCGCCGCU